AGACCUCCAAAACGAAACCAUACCAUCUCACUCUUCCUCGUGGUGUCUCUUCCUUUUCUUCAUCCAAAGCCAUUCUCUUCUCAAAACCUCACCAUCAAAGCCUUCCACGACCUCAGCUGGUCAUCACUUCCUUUCUCGCCUUGGAUUCUCUCUACCCGCACCAGGCCUUCAUCUUCUAGAAGGAGAUUUUCUGUGAAUGCGAGUCAACUUCCAUUAGUCGGCAAUCUGGCACCUGACUUUUAUUAUGAUUUGCAGGAAUACAGAGGCAGUUCGGUUCCCCAUAGAGGCCGUCGAUCAUCAUAAAACCUGCCGAAACGCUCCAUCCCCCCACUCCAUCGUCAAAUUGUGGAGUGGCUGCGAGGAUGGCUGCGAUUUCUGGUGGUGAUGGCCAAAUCUCAGCCGCUUGAUCAUAUCCAUGCAUUUCAUCAUUUGCUACAGUGGAUUUUUUAUUUUUUAUUUUUCCCUUCUUCCUUGGAUUUUGAAAGUAGAGCCAAUGGGUGUGGCCAUUCGGUCUGAUGGGGCCCUUUCCUAAUGUUCAAUGCCCCAACAUUCACCUUGUAUGUAAUAUGAAUGAUCCAUUGCCUCUGAAGCACUCACUUGCCAACCUAUUAGGAUGCCGGGGAUUUUGGAGGUAGACUUUUUAUUUUUUAUUUUUUAUUUCUAUUAUAGCUAGACUAGAUCUAUCUUCUGUGAAUCUGAUGUGAAUUGCAUGCUUUGCACCUCUAUGUUGAUUUUUUUCUGUUUAUUUUUAGUUUAAGAUGAUGUGGAAAGGAACUGUACUUUUGGGGCUUGUAAUUUCUCUCUUUCUAUUGAAUUAUGAAACUUAGGUUAAGAAUUACUGUCAA